CCUGCUAACAUGGAGAAAAAGAGUUAAGAGUGAAAUAACUUUUUCUACAUAAUCACAUUUGUGUUGGGAUCCGGGGUGUUUUGCUGUUUUCUUUUUUUUUUUCCUCCACCAGAGGUCGCCAUGAGGUGGAGACUGGAGGGCGUGACCACCGGCAGCAGUAUUACCUGCGCACCUGUAAGCGAUCAGCUUAUCUGGUGGAGUUUAAGAGGAGGGAGCAGCCAACACUUCUUUGCCAGAGUGUUAGCCUGAUAUGGUGACCCGUAAAGAACUCUGAGGACUAUCCGUUGAACCCUGAACCUCCGGCUGCCUCCACAAUAUCAUUGCCCUCGUGACGCCACGGAAAAUACCCGCUGGUCGCCCUCCAUCACUUUCCUCCACCCCGGUACCACCGAAACCUCCCAGGCGCAGAUCAUCACCUAAUCCAUGAACCAGACCCGGCCGUUUUCACCUUUGGUCCCCCGACCCAGAUUUCUCCGUUGUUUUUCAAUAAACUUCUUUUACUGAUUUCGGGUACUCCGUCUUGUGUUUCUGCAUGUGGGUGAGAAGAAUAGAGCCCAACAUGACAGAACACUCUGGCCAACAGACAGACCCAGCAGAAUCACUCCGGAGAACCCUACAGGAACAACAUUCACUAAUCCAAAAUCAUGAAGCAAUUUUACAGGAAUUAUCCAGCUGUCAGUUAGAAACAAACCGCCGCCUCGAAGAGUUAAUAGACUUUAUGCGAAACUCUGCUCCACAGGCCUCCGUUCCUGCUCCAGAUCCUGCACCGGUGCUUUCAGCAGCCUCGCAAGCGGCAUCUCCACCUCCUUCCAGUUCCGUGGAUAUGGUCCAGCCCAUGUUUUC